rnacentral:rRNA from 1 species
CCUACGGGAGACAGCAGUGAGGAAUAUUGGUCAAUGGGCGGGAGCCUGAACCAGCCAAGUCGCGUGAGGGAAGACGGUCCUACGGAUUGUAAACCUCUUUUGCCGGGGAGCAACGGGGUCCUUGCGAGGGCCCAAUGAGAGUACCCGGAGAAAAAGCAUCGGCUAACUCCGUGCCAACAGCCGCGGUAAUACGGAGGAUGCGAGCGGUAUCCGGAUUUAUUGGGUUUAAAGGGUGCGUAGGCGGGCUGUUAAGUCAGCGGUCAUAUGUCGGGGCUCAACCCCGGCCUGCCGUUGAAACUGGCGGCCUCGAGUGGGCGAGAAGUAUGCGGAAUGCGUGGUGUAGCGGUGAAAUGCAUAGAUAUCACGCAGAACUCCGAUUGCGAAGGCAGCAUACCGGCGCCCUACUGACGCUGAGGCACGAAAGCGUGGGUAUCGAACAGGAUUAGAUACCCUAGUAGUC